rnacentral:rRNA from 1 species
UACGUAGGGGGCUAGCGUUGUCCGGAAUCAUUGGGCGUAAAGAGCGCGUAGGCGGCCAGAUAAGUCCGGUGUGAAAGUCAAAGGCUCAACCCUUGAAUGCCGCUGGAAACUGUCUGGCUAGAGUCCGGGAGGGGCGAGUGGAAUUCCUGGUGUAGCGGUGAAAUGCGCAGAUAUCAGGAGGAACACCAAUGGCGAAGGCAGCUCGCUGGAACGGUACUGACGCUGAGGCGCGAAAGCGUGGGGAGCGAACAGG